rnacentral:lncRNA from 1 species
UAGUUUAUGAGGACACUACUGGCCACACAGAUGAACAUGACCUAUUACAUAAUUGAAUAUAGAGUAAACUGCAUGAAAAUGUACAAAAAAUGAUGAAGCCGUGUGCUACUCUAUAAGGAUUAUUCGCUGAUCACAUAAACGCACUGAUGGGAACAGAUUUGAGUGUCUAGUGUGUGAGGUCAAUUCAUCAAAAGGAAAAACAAAGCUGAUGAUGACAAAAAUUCAGGUUAGGGCCUAUCAGGGACCAUCGUGCAAUGGCAAGACAAAAGACGCAUUAAAAACUACUACUAGCCACCACACAGCUGCUACCGGCCACCACAAGGAUAGCACUGCUUGAAAAACUAGCACCCAUAUUUGAAAUUUUGGUUUCUCUUCAAGGAGGAUAUGUUGAAAUAUUAGGCAAUAUCAUGAUUGAUUCCAGUAUAUAAUUCAUGACUAGAACACAUAUUAGCAUGCAAUAAUCGAGCAAACUAGAUGAGCAACAAAGCAUGCAUAUCAUCAUCUUACACGAAGCAGCAACUACAGAAAGCGACAUGAACAGAUCACGAAGAACGUACCGUUUGUUAAAUGUUGCAGGCGAGACGGUGUUGAUGAUGAUGUCGUCGACAAUCUGUUGUUGACAGUGAUGAAAACGGCAAUGAGUAGCACCGCCCGACUUGGACGGUAGACGACCCGUGAUGACGAACAAAGCAUGCAUAUCAUCAUCUUACACGAAGCAACAACUACAGAAAGCGACAUGAACAGAUCACGAAGAACGUAUCGUUUGUUAAAUGUUGCAGGCGAGACGGUGUUGAUGAUGAUGUCGUUGACGAUCUGUUGUUGACAGUGAUGAAAACAGCAAUGAGUAGCACCGCCCGACUUGGACGGUAGAUGAUCCGUGAUGACGAAUUUGAGCAGUCGUGCAGAGCGCUUCCCAAAAACCUAUUUCAUUCUCUCCGAUGCAGGAUCGCAAAGACGGACGGUUUUGGAGACCUGCUCUCUCGUACGCCGUUGCACGUCGGCGUUCGAGAUGAAGUAGACUACUAUGGCGGCGCAAGUUUCGAGAUGAGGCAAAACCCUAGGUGUUUUCGGUAUAUCUUUGGAUGAGGCCGGUAAGCAAUAUAUAUAGGAGGACCAGAGGCGGUACCGUGUCGCGAUCACGAUCUCAAACCGACUUGGUUUCUAAGUCGUAUACUUACCGAACAAGAAAUAAUUAACUUGUCUGCCAAGACAUAAAAAAUAAACCAGCAAAAGGAAGCGCGCCCCCGCAAGGCAACGAACCGGAUUUCGGCGGACCAUUCACGCGUAUGUCGCACAUACGCGUCGCGCUGCCCCGCCCCGGCUAGGCCAGGCAGGCGAGGUGAGCACACGCGGGUGUGUGGUCUUCUCCUUUCUCUUCACAAUACACACUUAGAGUGGUGGGGAGAACUCAUUAUAUAAGGAGGUCCAACUCUUCCUCAACUAGCAGUAUGAGAAUAAACUUUAGUACCACCACUCCACCACUUGCCAUUUUAUUCAUGGGCUCACUUGAGAUUUCAGAAUUUGUAUACGGGCCAAGCUCAUUUAUUCUAACAAUCCCCCACCAGAUCUCAAAUACCCAUUUAGAGAUUUACCUUUUUCUCAUCACUUAUUUAAUAUACUAGUGUUUCAGUAGAGACUGUUAAGUUGAACUUUUGCCUAUAACUAUAAAAUACACCCAUCCACAACUUGGCAAUGGACUAUGCCUUGAAUUGCUAGUUUUGUGUGGAUAGAUUUCAUUCAAAGUCUUAACCAGUACCUGGCUGCCAGUAGGCUACUCCGCGGUUUGGAGCAUAUACGUCAUACUCCCUGGUCUCUUCGUGAGCUUACUAGAGAUCACCCAAGUCUCAUAGAUUGUGACGUUUACAAUCGGAGCUCAUAUAGGUGCGUUCUUUCAAGAUUGCUCUGUAGGACAUCAUCUUUCCUAUGGUAGCCAAUACACAUUAAGACAUGUUGCCAACCUGCCUUAGAGUAUUAAGCCUUACAGCUCUGAAAGUUUUGCAUCUUCACUUAGAGACGGUCACUUCUUACUCUCCUCUGUUAACCAAUAGCUUGUUCUUCCCAGGUCCUAAUUCACGGGAUCUCCGAUCACAAAGGUUGGGUUACUACUAUGGUUUAACAUCUAUGGGUAUCAUACCCAUCUCCCUCGAUGCAAUAUCUAUCGCAUUUCGUGAUAGUCCCUAAGUAAAAGGAUCUGCCAGGUUUUUAUCUGUUUGAAUAUACGUAACAGUUAUUACUCCGGAGUUUCUUAGCUUCCUGAUAGAUUUCAAACGUUUCUUCACAUGUCUUCAUGACUUCGCAUUAUCCUUAGAAUUAUUUACUUUAGCGAUAACCGUUUGGUUGUCACAAUUCAUAAGAAUAGCCGGUACAGGUUUUUCAACCACAGGCAAGUCCAUCAAGAGUUCACGCAGCCAUUCUGCCUCAACAGCGGUUGUGUCUAAAGCAGUUAGUUCUGCUUCCAUAGUUGACCUCGUCAAUAUGGUUUGCUUGCAAGACCUCCAUGACACUGCCCACCUCUGUGAGUAAAUACAUACCCACUUGUGGCGUAGAGUACAUCAACAUCGGAGAUCCAGUUUGAAUCACUAUAUCCUUCUAGCACAGCAGGAUGCCCUGAAUAGUGAAUUCCAUAACUCAAAUGUACCUCUCAGAUAGCGUGAGACCCUAUCAAGUGCAUGCCAAUGAUCAUUACUCGGGUUGGACAUGAACCUACUCAGUUUGCUUACUGCCUGCAUCUGACCCACCGAAUUUAGCUUUCAGUGCAUCCCAUAGUGUCUUCCCAUCUUGCAUGUGCAUGUACGCAUCACACAGACUGUCAGCAAGACCACUUAGAAUGCAUUUCAAAAACAUAGUGUUGGCUUCCUGGAACUUUCUCUGAUCUUCAUCAGUAGCUCCCUCUGGCAUGCCAACACUAACAUGGAAAACUUUUAGAGCGGUAAGCCAGCGUGGAUCUCACUUCCCACCUCUUGAAGUGCACACCGGUAAACUUGUCCGGCCUCAGUGCAUCAACAAAUUCAGCCAUAGUUAACUCAGGAAAUUGCCUACAAUUAGGUUUUUGGAUUGUUGAAAUAUUAGGCAAUAUCAUGAUUAAUUCC